UACGGAGGGUGCAAGCGUUAUCCGGAUUCACUGGGUUUAAAGGGUGCGUAGGUGGGUCUGAAAGUCAGUGGUGAAAUCUCCGGGCUUAACCUGGAAACUGCCAUUGAUACUUCAGGUCUUGAAUUUUCUGGAGGUUAGCGGAAUAUGUCAUGUAGCGGUGAAAUGCUUAGAUAUGACAUAGAACACCAAUUGCGAAGGCAGCUAACUACGGGGAUAUUGACACUGAGGCACGAAAGCGUGGGGAUCAAACAGGAUUAGAACUACCGUAGGUC
rnacentral:rRNA from 1 species